AUGGAGAGAUGCAUUCUACUGAUUCUCAUAACAGUAUCAGGUGUAUUUGCUGACAGCAUCGAGCCAAAAGAAAAGGAUGAAAUAAUCAGGAGAGAAGGAGAGUCUGUGACACUGAGCUGCUCAUAUGAUACAAGCAGCACUUAUGCUAUGCUUUACUGGUACAGACAGUAUCUAAAUAGAGAACCCCAGUUUUUAUUGCGUAAAGGUGCUCGAUCGUGGAGUGGCGAGCAUAUACCAGACCGUCGGUUUCAGACGACUACAUCCCAAUCAUCUACUGAACUCACUAUUACCAGUUUAACUCUGUCAGAUUCAGCUCUCUAUUAUUGUGCUCUA